rnacentral:lncRNA from 1 species
AGCACGAGUCUGCGCAGUAGUUAAUUUAGCACGAACUGGGGCGCACGUGGUUAAAAUUCCUGCAGUGACACAUCUCGCAUUAAGUCACAAGCUAAAAAACAAACUACUUUUCUAAAAAGAAAAAUACAAUUUGAGUAGGCUAAACCUCAGUCUGAUAUAACGAAAUAGCUAACCAAAAGGACAGAAACCACAUUUGGGAAAAACGCUGUGUGACGCGGAUUAUGACUAAACAUACUCAAACUGCAGACGUCCACUGGGAGUGAAAUAUUUUGGCUUCUCGUUUUCAGCACGUGUGGGGCACACUUGGACAUAAUCAGCAACAGCUUCACAGCAUGUGUGGCAACGUCAUUCACGGUGUGGACUCUCCUUGUCUCUCCUGUUCAAUAGCUGCAGAAAAAAGACAGACCUUGAGAUGUGCUUGAUGUGAACGGAGAUCAGAAUGGCUUUAUUCUCCAGCACAAGAGAAAAGUGGACCCAGAGAGACACAAACGUUGUGCUAAACUCUGAAGCACACCAGCAUUUUCCAGAAACUGCAUUAGAACAUGCGAAUGACAGUUAAGCUAACUUGCAGCAAGUCGUGUUCCCAAUUCCCAUAAGGCAUUUUUUGGCACUUGGCAGUGCAGCCUAGUAAACCACAGGGAAGCUAACGGAUUUCCUUCUUCUGUUGGUGAGCCGAGAGGGACUGGAGAUCCACCACACUGUAAUUGCUCUGUGUCAUGGAUGUUAAUGUCAUUACAUCCUGCAGCUGAUGAAGCCAGUUAUGCCGUCUUAAUUACAUAGGCCUGUGUCACUGUUAAUAUAAUCUAAUCUCAGUGGACAACACUCACUUACAGCCCAAUCUUAUGGUUAUAUUAAAUCAUUGCAGUUCCAUUAAGGUGAGACACUGGUAUGCAUAGUACACAGUUUUUUAUAAUAUUUUAAGAUUUUUUUGGCUUUCAUUUAUUGCACUUUAACAAUUUGUAUCUGUAGAUUUAAAUCUUUGAUGCAUACACUCACACCAGUGUGAUCAGUAUUGGCUGGUUAUAUUAAAUCAUUGCAGUUACAUUAAAGUGAGACACUGGUAAGCAUAGUACUGUUUUUUCAUAACAAUUUUGAGAUUUUCUGGCUUUCAUUUAUAGCACUUUAACAAUUUGUGUUUUUAGACUUAAAUCUUUGAUGCAUAAGUGUAUCAUAAGACCAGAUGCUAAAUUCAAAUCUGUUUUCCUGCAAUGGCUUGUGCUAAAUCAGAGAUAGAAGCCCAUGGUGCUAGUCAUAAAUUGCAAUGCAUCAGUGUUUUCAAACUAAACAAAUAAAAUUCAUGCUGAUGUUUAU